rnacentral:lncRNA from 1 species
UUUUUCUCCUCCCAUCCACCGCAGCCGUCAACCAUGCCCUCAUGCUGUCGCCACUACACGAUCCAGCACCAACUUUAACUCCUUCAGCAGGGUUCGGAUCCAGAGUGCCAGGGGGCUACCUCUUGAGGAUUUGGAGGAGGAGGUGGAGGAGGAAGAGUAAGAUGAGGAGGAAGAGGAAGAGGAAAAGGAGGUGGAGGGAGAAGGGGAAGAGGAGCAGAAGACGACGGAGCAGGCUCUGACGCUGGGUGUGGGGGAGGAGGAGCAGGCGCCAACGGAGGAGGAUGUGGGGGAGAAGGAGGCACCGUCGAUGGAAAAGGACGUGGAUUUGCCAGCAGAGCAGCAGGUCAUCCUGAACUUCAUCUGCUCGAAGUCGGUUGCACAGGC